rnacentral:rRNA from 1 species
GACGAACGCUGGCGGCGUGCUUAACACAUGCAAGUCGAACGGAAAGGCCCUGCUUGCAGGGUACUCGAGUGGCGAACGGGUGAGUAACACGUGGGUGAUCUGCCCUGCACUUCGGGAUAAGCCUGGGAAACUGGGUCUAAUACCGGAUAGGAGCCAUUUUUAGUGUGAUGGUUGGAAAGUUUUUUCGGUGUAGGAUGAGCUCGCGGCCUAUCAGCUUGUUGGUGGGGUAAUGGCCUACCAAGGCGGCGACGGGUAGCCGGCCUGAGAGGGUGGACGGCCACAUUGGGACUGAGAUACGGCCCAGACUCCUACGGGAGGCAGCAGGGGGGAAUAUUGCACAAUGGGCGCAAGCCUGAUGCAGCGACGCCGCGUGGGGGAUGACGGCCUUCGGGUUGUAAACUCCUUUCGCUAGGGACGAAGCUUUUUGUGACGGUACCUAGAUAAGAAGCGCCGGCUAACUACGUG